CAUGCCUAACACAUGCAAGUCGAACGGCAGCAGCAUUUGGGGUAACCCAAGUGGCUGGCGAGUGGCGCACGGGUGAGUAAUACGUGGGAAUCUGCCCUAAAGUGGGGGACAACCCGGGGAAACUCGGGCUAAUACCGCAUAAUCUCUACGGAGAAAAGGAGGGGACCUUCGGGCCUUUCGCUUUAGGAUGAGCCCACAUCGGAUUAGCUAGUUGGUAGGGUAAAGGCCUACCAAGGCGAGGAUCCGUAGCUGGUCUGAGAGUGCGACCAGCAACGCUGGGCCGGGGACUCGGCCCAGACUCCGACGGGGGGAAGCAGUGGGGAAUAUUGGAAAAUGGGGGCAACCCGGAUCCAGCACUGCCGCGUGUGUGAAGAAGGCCUUCGGGUUGUAAAGCACUUUUAGUUGGGACGAAAAGCACGUUAUUAAUAAUAGCGUGUAUUGACUUAACCGACAGAAAUAGCACCGGCUAACUCUGUGCCAGCCGCCGCCGUAACAC
rnacentral:rRNA from 1 species